GUGCCGUCGUCGUCCCCCACGACUAUCAGUCGACUCCUACGGGGAGGCAGCAGUGGGGGAAUAGUUGCACAAUGGGCGCAAGCCUGAUGCAGCUAUGCCGCGUGUGUGAAGAAGGCCUUAGGGUUGUAAAGCACUUUCAGUAGUGAGGAAAGGUGUAUAGUUAAUAGCAUUACACUGUGACGUUAGCUACAGAAGAAGCACCGGCAAACUCCGUGCCAGCAGCCGCGGUAAUACGGAGGGUGCGAGCGUUAAUCGGAAUUACUGGGCGUAAAGCGCGCGUAGGCGGUUAUUUAAGUGAGGUGUGAAAUCCCUGGGCUCAACCUAGGAACUGCAUUUCAAACUGGAUAACUUGAGUAUGUCAGAGGGUAUUGGAAUUUCCCCGUGUAGCAGUGAAAAUGCGUAGAUAUGGGAAGGAACAUCAGUGGCGAAGGCGAAUACCUGGGAUAAUACUGACGCUGAGGUGCGAAAGCGUGGGGAGCAAACGGGAUUAGAUACCCUGGUAG
rnacentral:rRNA from 1 species